rnacentral:rRNA from 1 species
UUAAGCUAAGAAGAGCGUAGGGAGAAUGCCUUGGCAUUAGGAGCCGAUGAAGGACGUGAUAAGCUGCGAUAAGCUGCGGGGAUCAGCAAGUAUGAAUUGAUCCGCAGAUUUCCGAAUGGAGCAAUCCGUAUGUGUAUGCACAUACAUCAUAUACUGAAUCAAAUAGGUAUAUGAGGGGAACCGCCUGAACUGAAACAUCUAAGUAGGGCGAGGAAGAGAAAUCAACCGAGAUUCUGUGAGUAGUGGCGAGCGAAAGCGGAAGAGGCUAAACCAUAGGUAGCAAUACUUAUGGGGUUUCGGACAGCAUUUAGUAUUGAUAAUUUCUAGUUGAAACGUGUGGGAAAACGUACCGAAGAGUGUGAGAGUCACGUAAGCGAAAGAGAAAGUCAGCGAGCUGUAUCCAAAGUACCGCGGGACACGUGAAACCCCGUGGGAAGAUGGGGGGACCAUCCUCCAAGCCUAAAUACUACCUAAUGACCGAUAGCGAAUAGUACUGUGAAGGAACGGUGAAAAGAACCCCGGGAGGGGAGUGAAAAAGAACCUGAAACCCUAUGCUUACAAGCACCGAGAGCACGUCAAAGUGUGAUCGGGUACCUUUUGUAGAAUGGUCCGGCGAGUUAUUGUAUGCGGCAAGGUUAAGUGCUUAAGGCACGGAGCCGAAGCGAGAGCAAGUCUGAAUAGGGCGAAAGAGUCGUAUGCAAUAGACCCGAAACCGAGUGACCUAUCCAUGUCCAGGCUGAAGUGGAGGUAAAACUCCAUGGAGGGCCGAACACACGUCCGUUGAAAAGGCCGGUGAUGAGGUGUGGAUAGCGGAGAAAUUCCAAUCGAACUCGGAUAUAGCUGGUUCUCUCCGAAAUAGCUUUAGGGCUAGCCUCGUGAAAGAUUACUGGAGGUAAAGCACUGAAUGGGCUAGGGGUCGAAAGAUUACUGAACCCUAUCAAACUAAGAAUGCCAGAUAAUUGAUUCACGGGAGUCAGACAAUGUGAGAUAAGUCUCAUUGUCAAAAGGGAAACAGCCCAGACCCACAGCUAAGGUCCCUAAACAUUGUUAAGUGGAAAAGGAUGUGGGGUUGCAUAAACAACCAGGAUGUUGGCUUAGAAGCAGCCACUCAUUAAAAGAGUGCGUAAUAGCUCACUGGUCGAGUGACCCUGCGCCGAAAAUUCAACGGGGCUAAACAAUGUACCGAAGCUUGGGAUUCUAAAGUAAUUUAGAGUGGUAGGAGAGCGUCGAAUAAGGGGUGAAGUCAGAGCGGAAGCGCUGGUGGACUUUAUUCGAGUGAGAAUGCCGGAAUGAGUAGCGAGAAUUAUGUGAGAAUCAUAAUGGCCGAAAAUCUAAGGUUUCCUGAGGAAGGUUCGUCCGCUCAGGGUAAGCCGGGGGCUAAGGCGAGGCGGAGACGCGUAGCCGAUGCACAUACGGUUGAAAUUCCGUAGCCACCGAAAGAUUUAAGUACAGGGACGCUUUAGAAGUGAUGUUGCCGGGCGAUGGUUGACCCGGUCGUAAGGGAUCGAAAAUGAGUAGAGAAGUCAUCAUGGAAAGAGACAAGAAAAGCUGUAUGGAUAUCUUAGGUGCCCGUACCGCAAACCGACACAGGUAGAUAGGAAGAAGAUUCUAAGGCCAACGGGAGAAGGGUUGUUAAGGAACUCGGCAAGUUGACCCCGUAACUUAGGGAUAAGGGGUGCUCAAGUGAUUGAGCCGCAGAGAAUAGGCCCAGGCGACUGUUUAGCAAAAACACAGGUCUCUGCUAAAUCGAAAGAUGACGUAUAGGGGCUGACACCUGCCCGGUGCCGGAAGGUUAAGAGGAGAUGUGAGAGCAUUGAAUUGAAGCCCCGGUAAACGGCGGCCGUAACUAUAACGGUCCUAAGGUAGCGAAAUUCCUUGUCAGGUAAG